rnacentral:lncRNA from 1 species
AUUAAAGCUCUUAUUGACAACAAAAUAACUAAUUUUUUUUUAGUAAAAAUUCUAUUUAAAUAAACUCUAUAUGAAAAACAGUACCAAACGAAGCCUUAGUCUAAACUUACCAAAAGGGUCUCUCUCAAGUCUAGUGGUGAUUACUUUUGUUGCCCCCCACUCUCAGUUUUUUUACUAUUAAAAAAUUGUUGGAUAAAAAUAUUUGAGUGAAAAGAAAAUGUUGCUUUUUUUUUUUUUUCUCUCUUUUGGUACAAAAAUGAGGCCUAACAAAGGCUAGAGCCUAACAAAAUAAGGGAUCGCAAUCCCAAAACCAUCAUAUCGCAACCAAAAAUCUAGGCUUGGAGUAGGCGAGUUGAAAACAUGGACCCCAAUAAGAAGAGUAAGAGCAUGAUUGGCAAGAAAAUCAGCUGUAAAGUUUGUUUCCCUAUACGAUAACAAUAUACCUGUCACGUUGCAUAAGCUCCUCUAUGCUACAAGUGAUCUAGAAAUAAGGAUUGCUUUUAAAAUACGAUAACUAUAUAUGUGAUUAAAAUAGAUUAUAGAUAUAAUGUUUUAUCCAAAGAUAUAAUAUUAUCAAUCCAAAGUUUUUUUUUUUCCUUUUUGUUUGACAAUCUAAGCCCAAAGUUUAAACUUAUCGUAAAUAUUUUUGUUUUCAAUCUUUCAUAAUUAGGCUGAGAUUGCGGUUAGCAUGAUCACAGACAUCAUCUUAUGAUUUUUUUUUUCCAAGCAAAUCAAAUUUUGGCAUCAACAUAAUAUAAGGUCAUGUUUGAGAUUAAGGUGGCAUUUGUUUUUUUAACUUAAUGACUUAAAAUGACUUAACUUAAUUAAUUAAGUUAAUUAGAGAUGUUUGUUUUUAUAACUUAAUGAGACUUUUUAGAUAAUUUUGACUUAAUAAAAUAAGCUAUUUUUUUUGGCUUUUUACUUAAUGGAGAAAUAUGAAUUAAGUCAAUUACUUGCUAAUGUAAAAAAUAUCCAUGUUUUAUAAUUUAUUUUUCAUGUCUAUCCCAAAACUCACCCAUAGAUAUUUACCCCACAUAAAAAUAUCCAUGUUUUUUCUUUCUUAUAUUAUAUACUAUAAAAUUUGAAAUUUAUGGUAUUUUAUUUAUUAAAAUUCCAAAAUAAUUAUGUAUUCACUUGAAUAUAGUUUUACUUAUAAAUAUUAAAAUAUUGUGGUAUUUAAUAUAUUAUUUAUUUGACAUUCAAAUUUAAUAAGGAUACAAAUGUAAAAGUACAUAUUUUUAGCUUUUUAAGUUGAAAAAAAACAAACAACUUAAUACUUAUUUUUCGAGAUUCAAACGAAAAAACAAACAUAUUAUUCAGAUUCAGACAUUCAGAUCUAUUCAGAAUUCAGACUAAUUCAGGUCUAUUCAGAUUUUAGACAAAAAAAUAAACGCCACCUAAGACAUCAACAACUGCUGUAG